CCUAACACAUGCAAGUCGUACGAAAGUUUUUAACUUUAGUGGCGGACGGGUGAGUAACACGUGAGAAUUUGCCUUUAGGAGGGGGAUAACAAUUGGAAACGAAUGCUAAUACCCCAUAUGCUUUUGAGUAAAAUGGAUUUAUCCGCCUAGAGAGAAGCUCGCGGCUGAUUAGCUUGUUGGUAAGGUAAGAGCUUACCAAGGCGACGAUCAGUAUCUGGUUUGAGAGGACGAUCAGACACACUGGAACUGAGACACGGUCCAGACUCCUACGGGAGGCAGCAGUGGGGAAUUUUCCGCAAUGGGCGCAAGCCUGACGGAGCAAUACCGCGUGAGGGAAGACUGCCUAUGGGUUGUAAACCUCUUUUUUCAGGGAGGAAUAAAAUGACGUGUACCUGAAGAAUAAGCAUCGGCUAACUCCGUGCCAGCAGCCGCGGUAAGACGGAGGAUGCAAGUGUUAUCCGGAAUCACUGGGCGUAAAGCGUCUGUAGGUUGUUUAAUAAGUCAACUGUUAAAUCUUGAAGCUCAACUUCAAAAUCGCAGUCGAAACUAUUAGACUAGAGUAUAGUAGAGGUAAAGGGAAU
rnacentral:rRNA from 1 species